UUUCUCUUGAAUAUUUUUCAUAUAUUAACAUUAAAUAUUAGUGUUUCAUUUCAGGUCAGAUAAAAUCCACCCCCCACAAAGAAAAAAAAGUCAUCCCUUAGCAGACUAAUGGGAAUGAAUUGAAGAAUUUCUCUAGCAGGAAUAUAAGGAACAGUAUCAUUUUCAAAAGGUUCUGUGAGCAAAUUCCUGCCCAAACCCCUACAUGCCAGACACAUUUAGAGUUGCUCUGCUAUCAGUCUUUGCAUCUAAAAUUAUCUGUGAAAGAAUAAAGUCAUACUUCAGCUGCUGCUGUGUUUAAUCUAUCAGCAUUCAGACAUCUCUCCAAUGACAUUAUUCACAGAGUCAAGAAA
rnacentral:lncRNA from 1 species